CCCCCCCCCCCCAAAAAAAGCUAAUGAUGUUUACAAGGGAGGCUACCAUUGUUGUAUAUACACAAACAUUUUGAAUACCCUGGGCCUUGAUCAAAACACUGUGACUUAAUAAUAUGUAGUCCAAAAAGUUUGUGGCAUUGUUUUUCGCAAAGUGAUAAUUCUUGCAGGCAAGGAGUAGAACCAUCAAUACGUUUGAUACAUAUGGUUUGAGCAUUCGCUGAGAAAACUUGUGUCAUCACGAACAUGCCUGCAAAAUCAAGCAGUAUAAAUAUUUAUGAGUGUUAUAUAAAUAAUAUUAUUGUUAAUUCAUAUAUAAAAUAAAUAACAUUUAAUGAUACUCUAUUUUUGUCGAAUAACUUUAGAGUCAAGAGUGUUCUAAGAAGAAAAUGUAUGAUCAUGAUUUGUGUCUGUAUAUGUAAGUAUAUAUGGGUGUAUAUAUCUUUUUAAUAGUGGGGUACAAUCGGGAUUUACUACAAUUUCAUGUAUUUCUUCUUUGCUGAUUAUUGUGAGAUUUUAACCAGUAUGUCCGUAUCCCAUAACUCCCAUAACAUACGUAUCUGUUAAUUCAACCAGCCAAAUCAUAAACAAAUGUGAGGAAAUCAUAUAAUUAUUUUUUAUAAUAUUUUCUAUUACUUAAUUCAACCAGCCAAAUCAUAUACAAAUGUGAGGAAAUCAUAUAAGUAUUUUUUUAUAAUAUUUUCUAUUAAUUUGCAACUUUGAUAUUGUUGUCAUAUACUAUUGAAACCUAUUAAUUGAAUACAUAAAUACUGAAAAAAGAUAUACUAAUUGUGAAAAGCAAAAGCAAAUAGCAAUUAUAGAUUCAUACGUACCACAAAUGUAAGCAAUUAGUAAAAUAGAAUAGCGGAAAGAUACACCAAAGUUUUCCAUUGUAUAAUUUAGUG
rnacentral:lncRNA from 1 species